GACGGUCGGCGGUCUUGGUGCGGCUUCCCGCCGCCUAGCUCCCAGGGCGGGGACAGCGGGCGGGCGCAUGUGCGCGCGAGGCACGCCCACGGAAUUCGGGCUACGGCCCUCGAGACGAAGCUGUUCCCGAAUUCUUCUCCAGUCUGGCACCCUCCAGGUGCUGGCUGGGAGGUUUUACUCGUAUGCCAGCUGGAAGACGGUAAGUUAGGGAAAGUUGAUUUAGUCAUCCUCUCUUCCAGCCAGUGCCCAGAAUGAUGGUCGAAGGCCGUAGUGUGCAUCAAAUAUGGCCACGUCCCCAGAGCAUUUAACCAGUAAAUCUGGAGUUGAGUGGCCUUAUUUCCAGGCUGCUGAAUACCUCUGGGCCCAGUCAACUCAAGAGGAGCCAGCUGACAAGGAAAGUGUGCGAUCUAGGAAAUAUCCCAGGCAUUCCCACUGAAAUAAGCAUGUCCCCUUUGAUGUGCCAGGAACAGAUGCUAUCUGUGUGCAGUAGGGGUCCACAAGGAAUAUACUGUUGAAUAAAAGGGUCAGGUGGCAACUGGA